rnacentral:rRNA from 1 species
ACGCUGGCGGCAGGCCUAACACAUGCAAGUCGAGCGGUAGAGAGAAGCUUGCUUCUCUUGAGAGCGGCGGACGGGUGAGUAAUGCCUAGGAAUCUGCCUGGUAGUGGGGGAUAACGUUCGGAAACGGACGCUAAUACCGCAUACGUCCUACGGGAGAAAGCAGGGGACCUUCGGGCCUUGCGCUAUCAGAUGAGCCUAGGUCGGAUUAGCUAGUUGGUGAGGUAAUGGCUCACCAAGGCGACGAUCCGUAACUGGUCUGAGAGGAUGAUCAGUCACACUGGAACUGAGACACGGUCCAGACUCCUACGGGAGGCAGCAGUGGGGAAUAUUGGACAAUGGGCGAAAGCCUGAUCCAGCCAUGCCGCGUGUGUGAAGAAGGUCUUCGGAUUGUAAAGCACUUUAAGUUGGGAGGAAGGGCAGUAAAUUAAUACUUUGCUGUUUUGACGUUACCGACAGAAUAAAGCACCGGCUAACUCUGUGCCAGCAGCCGCGGUAAUACAGAGGGUGCAAGCGUUAAUCGGAAUUACUGGGCGUAAAGCGCGCGUAGGUGGUUAGUUAAGUUGGAUGUGAAAUCCCCGGGCUCAACCUGGGAACUGCAUUCAAAACUGACUGACUAGAGUAUGGUAGAGGGUGGUGGAAUUUCCUGUGUAGCGGUGAAAUGCGUAGAUAUAGGAAGGAACACCAGUGGCGAAGGCGACCACCUGGACUGUACUGACACUGAGGUGCGAAAGCGUGGGGAGCAAAC